GUUUUAGAGCAGUGAAACGGAGGUGACUGUAACGCGGAUUUGCCGGUUUGAAAACGGAUCCGGCACGGAGUCACCUGCUGUCUGGGUCAUUAUCAUCAAUCAUCGUCGUUAUCUGGAUACUCGCGAGAGGAAGUCACCUGAACCAACCACAACAGCUUCAGAUCACUCGACUGAACCAGCGGCUAUCACUUCAUUAUCACCACAAUUACAACGAGGUUUUACAGCAGUCAUCGUUAUGCCGCUGGUCAUAGGGAUACUGAUGGUGUUUGGACUCUCAUCGUUUAUUUAUUUCAGACUGAGUCAAAGGAAAGAAGGAGUGCAGUCGAGAGAUGUCGUUCAUGUGUCGGCUGAAAACCUGCUUACUGAAGAAGCCACUCAUACUGUCUGUCAUUAUGAAGAGAUCAUUUGCACUAAUAAUCAUGCUGGCUUCAGUUUGGGCCUUCCUGUGUUUGGUGAACAUGACGCCUCUGACACUCUCACCUGUUCAACGGUCUUGUUUCAAACUACAGAUCAUUCAGACAGGACUUCAGCACGACAGGAACUAUAUGCAACUGUUAGUCCAUGACCAUGUAAAGCUGAGUGACACUGUUUAGUUACAUAUCUGAAUCUGAUGAAAAAAUGUUCAA